rnacentral:rRNA from 1 species
CCCUUAGAUGUCCUGGGCCGCACGCGCGCUACACUGAUGCAUUCAACGAGUUUUACCUUGGCCGAGAGGCCUGGGCAAUCUUUUAAACCUGCAUCGUGAUAGGGAUGGAUUAUUGCAAUUAUUAAUCUUGAACGAGGAAUUCCUAGUAAACGCAAAUCAUCAAUUUGCAUUGAUUACGUCCCUGCCCUUUGUACACACCGCCCGUCGCACCUACCGAUUGAAUGGUCCGGUGAAGCCUCGGGAUUGUGGCCAGUUCACUUUAUUGGGAGUUGGCUGUGAGAACUUGUCUAAACCUUAUCAUUUAGAGGAAGGUGAAGUCGUAACA